CUGAGGUGGUCGAGUUACCAGAUGGAUUCGAGGAACGAACAAAAGGGCGUGGCGUGGUGUGCACUAGUUGGGCUCCUCAACUCAAGAUCUUAGGUCAUGAUUCGGUUGGUGGUUUCUUGACUCACUCUGGGUGGAGCUCGGUUGUGGAGGCACUUCAACAUGAGAAAGCUCUGAUACUCUUGCCAUUCUUGGGGGACCAAGGGUUAAAUGUGAGGAUUUUGGAGGAGAAGAAAUUGGGAUACCCAAUACCAAGGAACGAAUUGGACGGC
rnacentral:misc_RNA from 1 species